rnacentral:rRNA from 1 species
UUCCGGUUGAUCCUGCCGGACCUGACUGCUAUCGGAUUGAUACUAAGCCAUGCGAGUCUUUGCAGUAAUGCAAGGCAUACGGCUCAGUAACACGUAGUCAACUUACCCUAUGGACGAGGAUAAUCUCGGGAAACUGAGCAUAAUACUCGAUAGAUCAUAAUGCCUGGAAUGGUUUAUGGUUGAAAUGAUUCGUCGCCAUAGGAUGGGACUGCGGCCUAUCAGCUUGUUGGUGAGGUAAUGGCCCACCAAGGCGAUUACAGGUACGGGCUCUGAGAGGAGAAGCCCGGAGAUGGGUACUGAGACAAGGACCCAGGCCCUAUGGGGCGCAGCAGGCGAGAAAACUUUGCAAUGUGCGAAAGCACGACAAGGUUAAUCCGAGUGAUUUCUGCUAAAGAAAUCUUUUGCAAGUCAUAAAACCACUAGUGAAUAAGGGGUGGGCAAGUUCUGGUGUCAGCCGCCGCGGUAAAACCAGCACCUCAAGUGGUCAGGAGGAUUAUUGGGCCUAAAGCAUCCGUAGCCGGCUCUGUAAGUUUUCGGUUAAAUCCAUGUGCUCAACGCAUGGGCUGCCGAAAAUACUGCAUAGCUAGGGAGUGGGAGAGGUAGACGGUACUCGGUAGGAAGGGGUAAAAUCCUUUGAUCUAUCGAUGACCACCUGUGGCGAAGGCGGUCUACCAGAACACGUUCGACGGUGAGGGAUGAAAGCUGGGGGAGCAAACCGGAUUAGAUACCCGGGUAGUCCCAGCUGUAAACGAUGCAGACUCGAUGAUGCAUUGGCAUAUAGCCAGUGCAGUGUCGCAGGGAAGCCGUUAGGUCUGCCGCCUGGGAAGUACGUACGCAAGUAUGAAACUUAAAGGAAUUGGCGGGGGAGCACCACAAGGGGUGAAGCCUGCGGUUCAAUUGGAAUCAACGCCGGA